rnacentral:rRNA from 1 species
AUUGAACGCUAGCGGGAGGCUUAACACAUGCAAGUCGAACGAGCGGCGGACGGGUGAGGAAUGUAUGGGGACUGCCCGAUAGAGGGGGAUAACUACUGGAAACGGUAGCUAAUACCGCAUACUAUCGGAUAACCCAUAUGGGAUUAGCUCGUAGGGGAGGUAAUGGCUCCCCUAGGCGACGAACCCUAGCUGGUCUGAGAGGAUGAUCAGCCACACUGGGACUGAGACACGGCCCAGACUCCUACGGAGGCAGCAGUGGGGAAUAUUGCACAAUGGGCGCAAGCCUGAUGCAGCCAUGCCGCGUGUAUGAAGAAGGCCCUAGGGUUGUAAAGUACUUUUGGCAGAGAAGCGGUAUCUGCAGAAUAAGCACCGGCUAACUACGUGCCAGCAGCCGCGGUAAUAC